CUUCUAUCUUCAGUUGUUUUGGUCCUGUUGUUCGUUAACAAAAGAACAUACAACGAACAACAGGACUAAAACAACUGAAGAUAGAA